rnacentral:rRNA from 1 species
CAAUAGCGUAUAUUAACGUUGUUGCAGUUAAAAAGCUCGUAGUUGGAUUUCUGGAGGGAGCGUCGGCCCGUAUUUACGAGUGCGUGACGUCUCUGUCCAUCCUUGCGGGAAGGCACGGCAUUGAUUUGUUGUGUCGGAUCGCAUCAUUUACUGUGAAAAAAUUAGAGUGUUCAAAGCAGGCUUUCGCUUGAAUACAUUAGCAUGGAAUAAUAAGAUAGGACUUUGGUACUAUUUUGUUGGUUGAGCCUAAAGUAAUGAUUAAUAGGGAUAGUUGGGGGCACCUGUAUUGCGUUGUCAGAGGUGAAAUUCUUGGAUUUACGCAAGACAAACAGCUGCGAAAGCGUCUGCCAAGGAUGUUUUCAUUAA